rnacentral:rRNA from 1 species
AUUGAACGCUGGCGGCAGGCCUAACACAUGCAAGUCGAGCGAGCGGCGGACGGGUGAGUAAUGUCUGGGAAACUGCCUGAUGGCGGGGGAUCACUACUGGAAACGGUAGCUAAUACCGCAUACCAUCGGCUUUGCCCAGAUGGGAUUAGCUAGUAGGUGGGGUAACGGCUCACCUAGGCGACGAUCCCUAGCUGGUCUGAGAGGAUGACCAGCCACACUGGAACUGAGACACGGUCCAGACUCCUACGGGAGGCAGCAGUGGGGAAUAUUGCACAAUGGGCGCAAGCCUGAUGCAGCCAUGCCGCGUGUAUGAAGAAGGCCUUCGGAUUGUAAAGUACUUUCAGCGGGGAGGCGUUACCCGAAGAAGAAGCACCGGCUAACUCCGUGCCAGCAGCCGCGGUAAUAC